rnacentral:misc_RNA from 1 species
GAUGAAGAACGCAGCGAAAUGCGAUAAGUAGUGUGAAUUGCAGAAUUCAGUGAAUCAUCGAAUCUUUGAACGCACAUUGCGCCCCUUGGUAUCCCGAGGGGCAUGCCUGUUCGAGCGUCAUUUCACCACUCAAGCCUGGCUUGGUGUUGGGCGACGUCCCCUUUGGGGACGCGCCUCGAAACGCUCGGCGGCGUGGCACCGGCUUUAAGCGUAGCAGAAUCUUUCGCUUUGGAAGUUGGGGCCCCGUCUGCCGGAAGACCUACUCGCAAGGUUGACCUCGGAUCAGGCAGGGAUACCCGCUGAACUUAAGCAUAUCAAUAAGCGGAGGA